rnacentral:tRNA from 1 species
CUCUCCAUAGCUCAGUUGGAAGAGCGAUGGACUGUAAGUUUAGAUAUUUAUCCAUAGGUCCCUGGUUCGACCCCGGGUGGAGAGA